CCUCGGGUCAUUUUUAACAAUAACAAAAAAUAUUUUCAGCUGAAACUUCAGACCGGAGACCUGCAAGUAAAUGAGACAUUGGACCGGGAAGAAUUGUGUAGAAUCACUGAGCCUUGUGUGCUGCAAUUCCAAGUGUUACUGGAAGAACCUUUGGAGGUUUAAACUUUUGGUCAGUGACAUAAACACAAUUCCCCUGUAUUCCCAGAAGCAGAAAUUAUUUUGAAAUCAUGGAAAAUACUCCUCCAGGAACUGUGUUUCCUCUGAAAAAUACACAAGAUUUGGAUGUGGCCAUCAAUAACAUCCAAAACUACACCAUCUACCCCUACUCCCAUGUCCACGCUCUCACCCAAAAUGGCAGUGAAGGCAGAAAAUACCCAGAGCUGGUUCUGGACAAAGCCCUGGAUCGGGAGGAGCAGGCUGAGAUCAGGUUAACUCUCAUGGCAGUAGAUGGCGGGACUCCUCCCAGAACUGGGACUGCUCUGGUCCUCAUUGAAAUCUUGGACAUCAAUGACAAUGCACCUGAGUUUGUGUAGCCACUCUAUCAGGUGCAGAUAUCAGAAAACAGCCCCCUGGAUUCCCUUGUUGCCACUGUUUCCGCUAGAGAUUCAGACAUGGGAAUUAAUGGUGAGAUAUUCUACUCAUUUUUUAUGGUGAUGAAGAGAUUUCUAAGACAUUUGCACUUAAUGAACGAAGGGGAGAAAUUAAAAUAAUCAGAAAACUAGAUUUUGAAAAAAUUGUGUCAUAUCAGGUGGAUAUUAAAGCCUCUGAUGGGGCAGGUCUUUCUGGAAAAUGCACUGUCAUAAUACAGGUGGUAGAUAUCAACGAUAACGCUCCGGAACUGACCAUGGCUUCAUUCACAAGCCCCAUCCGCGAAAAUUCUCCUGAGACCGUUGCAGCUCUUUUCAGCAUUCAAGACCGCGAUUCUGGGAAAAAUGGAAGAAUAGUUUGAUCAAUUCAAAAUGAUGUUCCGUUCAUGCCGAAACCUUCCGUUGAGAAUUUAUACUGGCUGUUAACAGAAGGACCACUGGACAAAGAGAUUAGAGCCGAGUACAACAUCACCAACACAGCCACGGACUUGGGGACUCCUAGGCUGAAAACCGAGUACAACAUAACGGUGCUGGUCUCCUACGUCAAUGACAAAGCCCCCACCUUCACCUAAACCUCCUACACCCUGUUCGUCCGCGAGAACAACAGCCCCGCCCUGCAUAUUGGCAGCGUCAGCACCGCAGAGACUCGGGCACCAACAUCCAGGUCACCUACUCGCUGCUGCCGCCCCGGAACCCGCACCUGCCCCUCGCCUCCCUGGUCUCCAUCAACACAGACAACGGCCACCUGUUCGCCCUCAGGUCGCUGGACUACGAGGCCCUGCAGGAGUUCGAGUUCCGCGUGGGCGCUUCAGACCGCGGCUCCACGGCGCUGAGCAGCGAGGCGCUGGUGCGCGUGCUGGUGCUGGACGCCAACGACAGCUCACUCUUCGUGCUGUUCCCGCUGCAGAACGGCUCCGCGCCCUGCACCGAGCUGAUGCCCCGGGCGGGCCGCCGAGCCGGGCUACCUGGUGACCAAGGUGGUGGCGGUGGACGGUGACUCGGGCCAGAACGCCUGGCUGUCGUAGCAGUUGCUCAAGGCCACGGAGCCAGGGCUGUUCGGCGUGUGGGCGCACAAUGCACUGACAGGCUGCUGAGCGAGCGUGACACAGCCAAGCACAGGCUGAUGGUCCUGGUCAAGGACAAUGGCGAGCCUCCGCGCUCGGCCACCGCCACGCUGCACGUGCUCCUGGUGGAUGGCUUCUCCCUGCCCUACUUGCCGUUCCCUGAAGCGGCCCCGGCCCAGGCCCAGGCCGACUUGCUCACCGUCUACCUGGUGGUGGCGUUGGCCUUGGUGUCGUCGUUCUUCCUCUUCUCGGUGCUCCUGUUCGUGGCGGUGCGGCUGUGCAGGAGGAGCAGGGAGGCCUCAUUGGGUCGCUGCUCGGUGCCCGAGGACCCCUUUCCAGGCAUCUGGUGGACGUGAGCGACACCAGGACCCUAUCCCAGAGGUACAAGUAUGAAGUGUUUCUGACGCGAGGCUCCGGGACAAAUGAAUUCAAAUUCCUGAAGUCUGUUAUCCCUAAGCAUCCGGGCGCUGUGAAUGAUGGGAGGAAAAGUCCAACUUUGUAAAUGGUUUUGGAUUCAAUUAAGAAUCUGUAGAUUUUUCAGAGCAUUUAGGAUAAAGGUUAGUCCUUUAUCAAUAUAUUAAGUCUCUGUUAUGUUUUUUGUGCUAUAUGGAUUUUCUAAGAUUUUUGCUGAUUUCAUUUUCCUACUUAAGAUUAGACAUUUUCUUUGAUUAUUUGUUCAUACUUGGUCUCCUUUUAUCAUGUCCAUUUUGAUGAAUACAACUUUCAGGUUUACUCAUUAAUGAAAAGUAAUAUUUGUUCAAUUUAUCAACUUUUCAAAAUCACAGGCUGUUGACUUGAAGACUCCAGCUCCAUUCCGUUUCAUUAAAGAAAGCUUUUCUAAACUUUUGAUGCUUAGAAGACAGGAACGAUGAUAUAGUGAUUAUUAGUACAUAUUCUAUUGAUUCUGUCUUAUGCUUACCUGUCUUGAAUUUUUAAAUGGAGAAGCGUCUGCAAAAAUUGCAUCGUUUUAUUUCACAAUAGCUUGAAGUGGGAAAGACUACAUUUUUCCCCAAACUUAAAGACUUUUCUGCUCUUUUUAUAACCUUCACUCCAUAACAUAUAUGAGCAUUAUUAUUACUAUUAUUGAGUCAGAGUUUCACUCUUGUCGCCCAGGCUGGAGUGCAAUGGCGCGAUCUGGGCUCACUGCAACCUCGCCUCCCCGGUUCAAGCGAUUCUCCUGCCUCAGCCUCCCGAGUAGCUGGGAUUACAGGCUCCUUGUUUUAGUAGAGAUAGGGUUUCACCAUGUUGGCCAAACUCAAACUG
ensembl:lncRNA novel transcript